AUGACGGCGCUUGCUGACCGGAAGUGGAUCACAUGCAUCAAGGAAAAUCCGACCGCUCAAGUCUUGGCUGACUAUGUGCGCGUCUGGAAUAUCACGGCACAAGUAAACCUCUCCCCAACUCAACCUGACGACAUCCGGUGGAAGUGGACGGCUGAUGGGCAAUACUCGGCCCGGACGACCUAUCAAAUGCUGUUUCAAGGGAGAAUCAGAACCAACCACAAUAUGCUAAUCUGGUCGUCGCGGACGCCUCCCAAGUGCCAAAUGCACGCUUGGCUUGCAAUCCAAGGGCGUUGCAAUACAGCAGAUCAGCUCGCGAAGAAGAACUGGCCUCACACCCCAACCUGCACUUUGUGCCAGCUGCAACCAGAGACUGCCCUACACCUUUUUGCUCAAUGCCAGUACACCCGCUUGCUAUGGCAGAUGAUCUUACAGCGGUUCCAUGCACAAAUCAACCCGCCAAGAGCCGACGAGCCCUCCCUUGAAGAUUGGUGGUACAGCUCAGUUCGAAGCCUCUCGAAGCAGGAAAGAAUGAAGGUCAACUGCCUCGUCAUUUGCGCCUGGUGGCACGUUUGGAAGGAGAGAAACGCCAGGAUUUUUGAGCACCGAGCCUCGGCGAUCACUGAGGUCUGCUCCCUGAUCAACGAGGAGCUCCGACUAUGGUGCACGGCCGGCCUCGUCGGAGCGAUGUGGAUGCCGCCGGACUAG
rnacentral:rRNA from 1 species